UACAGAGGGUGCGAGCGUUGUUCGGAAUUAUUGGGCGUAAAGGGCGCGUAGGCGGUGCCACAAGUCACUUGUGAAAGCCCCGGGCUUAACCCGGGAAUGGCAUUGAAUACUGUUGAUCUGGAGGAUUGGAGGGGGGACUGGAAUUCUUGGUGUAGCAGUGAAAUGCGUAGAUAUCAAGAGGAACACCAGUGGCGAAGGC
rnacentral:rRNA from 1 species